rnacentral:rRNA from 1 species
UACGCAGGGUGCAAGCGUUAAUCGGAAUUACUGGGCGUAAAGCGUGCGCAGGCGGCUUUGCAAGACAGAUGUGAAAUCCCCGGGCUUAACCUGGGAACUGCAUUUGUGACUGCAUGGCUGGAGUGCGGCAGAGGGGGAUGGAAUUCCGCGUGUAGCAGUGAAAUGCGUAGAUAUGCGGAGGAACACCGAUGGCGAAGGCAAUCCCCUGGGCCUGCACUGACGCUCAUGCACGAAAGCGUGGGAGCAAACAGG